rnacentral:lncRNA from 1 species
GAAGGUUUCAGGACUAGUGACCAAAACAAUUAAGAAAAUGAUGCAAUCAUAUUCCCAUGUAACACUAUUUUCCAAGCAUGUUCCUGUCACUAGCCUGAGCCUUCUGUGAAGCUCUGUUUCCUCUUGAAGCACAGAGGAGAUGACCUUCAGCUCCAGCUCUCUAAAGUUUGAUUAAAGCCAUCUGAAAUAAAUUUAUUGCCACA